rnacentral:piRNA from 2 species
UACAGGCUUCCUUCCACUUUCUGAUU